rnacentral:lncRNA from 1 species
GAGUACUUAACUUUUUUUUAUGUCAUGGGCCUAUCUGGCAAUGUGAAGACUUCAUGACUCUUUUCUUGGAAUGAUACUUUUAAAUUCACAAUAUACACAGAAUUACAAAAGAAACCAAAGAUGAGUGGAAAUAAAUAAUUAUUUUUUCCCAAAUACAAGUUCCCAAGAAAAUCACAGAUUCCAAGUUAAGUGCCUCUGGAUUGAACUAUGAGCAAAGUUUUUAACCUUCUUUGUAUCACAGACAUCUUUGGCAAUAUGGUGACACCUAGGGAACCCUUCUCAAAAUCAUAUCUUUUAAAUGCACAAAAUAAAGUACCUGAGAAUACAGAGGAAAUCGAUUUUAUUGAAAUAUAGUUAUCAACAUAUUAAAAAGAAACAGACGAAGUUCAUGAACCUCCAAAAUAAGUACACUUACGCUUGCUCUAGUCAUCAGAAACACCCAUUGGGAGGGAAGAGAAACAGAUUCUGCUUUUCCCACAGAGAUGUCUUCACAUGCUUGGGACAAACAUGGUGUGGACUCUGAACACGCCACAGAGUCGUCUUGCUUUUACACUUCUCUGCUAUUAAGCCUAGGCUCCAGGAAGAGUUUGGUGCCAUUAACUCCAGGCAAAAUCCUCAUUUCUCUCAACUGUUUCUUGAAUGACACAACUGUCAAAAUCCUCACCAUACUUACUGCCUACAUCUCGAUACUCUCUUGCUCAUCAAUGUCCUUUUUAAAGUGUAUGGCCGAGAUGAAUUAUUUCUUCAGUUGCUACAAGAGUUGGAAAAUAUUAUUUAACCUAUUUCAAUAAUCUUCACAAACUCUUGGAGAAUAAGAAAGAUGCCAAAAGAUUGAAAACUGCUUUCAGAAUCAAUCAAUAAUAAUUCUAGAA